GGUUUAGCGCAGAGUCAGACACUUCCUACUUGUCUUCGAGUCGGUCGCGGCAACUCAAGGAGUGAUUUUGAAAAUUCCUACCAAAAAGAAAAAUCCUCCAAAAAAGCAAAAGACCAUUAUGUCAUCCUCCCGCACACCUGACAAAACUGGCAGUAGCCAAAAGUCAGAGAGUACACAGCCAGGUGGAGCUACAGGUGGAGCUACAGGUGGAGCUACAGGUGGAGCUGCAGGUGGAGCUACAGGUGGAGCUGCAUGGUCUGAUCCAGAUGACGGAGCCAAAGGCUCUCAACCUAGCGGAGGUGAAGGGUCUAAUCUAGGUGGAGCUACAAGCUCUCAGGUGAGCUCUUAUUGUGAAAUGGCAGCCUGCAGGUCCAUACAUUGAUUGUAAUAUAAAUUAAGUUUUUGAUUGGGUUUAAGAGAAAAUAAUAAUGAUUAGGCUCCUGAUAUGUGAUUCAUUUGAUAUUCCCGCUGCCUAUCCAUUUCUGUGUCACAACAGUGUAGCCACAGGCUCUCAGGUAAACCUCUUUGAGUCAUGAUUCACUCGGAUCUUUCACCCGAGUCUUUAACUUGACUCAAACAUUGCCAUGGGAUUCACUCGAGACUCAUGAGUUAUCGCG